CUGACAAACAACACGCGGACUUGAGAAAAACGGCGUUCUUGAAACCUUUUACGGUAAAAACAGAUUGAAUCAGUUUUUUAAUUUUCUUUGAGAACUAUGAUAUAUAAGCGUUUUAUGUAACUGAUUAUGGCCUUACUUAACGACAUCCACUUCAGUCUUUAUCCGAAGAGUAUAUGCGAGUUUAAUAACAUGAAACGAAAAACAAACUUGUUCGUUAAUUAUUAUUGCCAUGAUGAUAAGUUGUCAGUAUCUAUUUUGUUUAUGCUCCAUAUGAAUACGGGAGGUGAAAACCCUUAAGUAACUAAUCACAGAAGCAACACCAAGAUCGCAGAAACACAUAAGAAGAGUGAAGGCUGUGUUGACAUGGUAAAUCUUAGGAAGUCGUCUCCGGAAACGGGUUUGGAGUUGAACAAGCAGGUAAAUGAGUUGCGGACUUACACGGCGAGUCUGGCACUGGACGCCGUCCAAGAGUUAGGCCACAAACAGCUGUCGAUUUGUGUGAUUAGCCCCCAGGCAUGUGUACAGACGAUCUAACCUUCGCCAGCUAAACUGCACGCUUCAUUGACCCAAGGCAAUAGAGUGAGUAAGAGAAGUGAGAGGAUGCCAACCAUGUUCGGCUAAGACCACAUGUACGUGAAAAGAUGUGAUACACCAGCACACACUCCACCACAAUCUCCAAAGAGUCUGAAGGGAGAAAGAAGCAGUCCGAGGCGACAGGAAGUACACCUCAUCAGCCGUCAAAAAUAGGCCAGAAGCAGAAUAUCCCGUGGACAGAGGCUGAGAAAGAGUUCUUCAAACAGUAUGUUGAACACACCCCGCAGGAGAGAGAAACCCUCACAGACAUGUUCGAAGGCCAUGAAUAAACAAUUUACGUCUUCAACACGCAAUGGUAUAUCAUGCAAAGCACUAGCAUGGAGGUUGCUUGUUACUCCACCAACACGUCAUCCUACGAGUACUUCAUCCAUGAUUAGUUUGGAUGCCAUGGCUAUGGCAGAGGGAUUACAGAUACUGUCUGCAUAUGUAAAGACACGGACCACUCGAGAUGUGGAGACACAGACUACCUUAUCACUUCCAGUCCAAAGUAAAAGGGGUGAUGUUAAACAUGGUGACUGGGUGUUUAUGGAACCAACAAAAGAACUGAAGAUGUAUACAGAACAAAUGAAACAUAGUGGCAUAAAAGAGAUUUUGAUAAAAUACAACUCCGAACGUAAAAGAGUGCGUUGAUAUAUGUUGGCUUAUGAAUGUCCAAGAACCGCCAGUAGUGUUUGCACCGGUGCACGAAGUACUGAGUGAAAUAAACUUAGACCUUUAUCGGCACUACAUUAGGUCCGGACCAUGUGUAGAGUUCCUCGUAUGGCCUGCCAUGUUGUUGCACGAAGUAGGUCCCACGAUCAUGAAAGGCGUGGUCUAAUCCAUCCAAAAACCAAUGCAAGUCUAAAGGCACAGGAUGACGGUGGUGAUUGUGCUGGAAAACUGUGUGUUGACAGUGCGACUGUCAAAGAAGCGGAUACAAAUUCGGAUGAGAAGCAAUCGAGUCGUACCGUUGACGACCAAUCGACACAGCACGGAAAAUCUCAUUCCGACCUACCAACGGAAAUUAAAAGUACUGGCAAGACGAAAAAGAAGAAAAAGAAAAAAAAAAGAAAAGUUAAAGUUUACCGAAGCCGCAAACAGAAAAUAAACAAAGUACAAC